rnacentral:lncRNA from 1 species
UCGGAAAGCCAGUUUUGCAAAUAUGGAAACGAAAACGUAGAUGUUAGGGUAUUGUGUAAGAUACUGAUGAGAUUCUUGUGAGCUAAUUUACGGAAUAUACUAUUAUAUAUAAAAUUUCCGAAAAUGUUGCCAGGAUUUGAGAAGAGAGAAACCAUGUGAUGAUGAUGAUGAUGAAACUACGUGAUUGCUUUUCUUCAACUUGGUUAUGACAGAGAAAACAC